GACGAACGCUGGCGGCGUGCUUAACACAUGCAAGUCGUACGGUAAGGCCCUUUCGUGGGUACACGAGCGGCGAACGAGUGAGUAACACGUAAGCAACCUGCCCUUCACUUUGGUAUAACUACCGUAAACGGUGGCUAACACCUGAUGUGACUUCCUCACGCAUGUGUGGUGGGGCAAAGCCAUCGGGUGGUGGGGGAUGGGCUCGCGGGCUAUCACCUUGUUGGGGGGGGGUUGGCCUACCAAGGCUUCGACGGGUAGCCGGCCUGAGAGGGUGACCGGCCACAUUGGGACUGAGACACGGCCCAGACUCCUACGGGAGGCAGCAGUGGGGAAUAUUGGACAAUGGGCGAAAGCCUGAUGCAGCAACGCCGCGUGAGGGAUGACGGCCUUCGGGUUGUAAACCUCUUUCGCCUGCGACGAAGCGAGAGUGACGGUAGCAGGUAAAGAAGCACCGGCAAACUACGUG
rnacentral:rRNA from 1 species